CCUACGGGCGGCAGCAGUGAGGAAUAUUGGUCAAUGGGCGAGAGCCUGAACCAGCCAAGUCGCGUGAGGGAGUACUGCCCUAUGGGUUGUAAACCUCUUUUGUCGGGGAGCAAAAGCCGGACGUGUCCGGCUGUGAGAGUACCCGAAGAAAAAGCAUCGGCUAACUCCGUGCCAGCAGCCGCGGUAAUACGGAGGAUGCGAGCGUUAUCCGGAUUUAUUGGGUUUAAAGGGUGCGCAGGCGGAUGUUUAAGUCAGCGGUAAAAUCGUGGGGCUCAACCCCAUCCAGCCGUUGAAACUGGGGAUCUAGAGUGUGCGAGAGGUAUGCGGAAUGCGUGGUGUAGCGGUGAAAUGCAUAGAUAUCACGCAGAACCCCGAUUGCGAAGGCAGCAUACCGGUGCACAACUGACGCUCAGGCACGAAAGCGUGGGUAUCGAACAGGAUUAGAUACCCUUGUAGUC
rnacentral:rRNA from 1 species